CCCUAUGGCCAUCCUACCCUGAACGCGCCCAAUCUUGUCUGAUUUCGGAAGCUAAGCAGGGUCGGGCCUGGUUAGUACCUGGGAUGGGAGAACUAUAUUUUCUUAAAUU
rnacentral:rRNA from 1 species